ACAAGCACCACCUAUCGAUUAAAAAAAGAAUUAUCGAUAUCGGUCCACCCAGUAAAAUAGUAAUGAGGUUAAUAUAACGUCGGUCGACGUAAAAUAGCCAAGUAAAUACCCAGUAUUAGCGAUAACUCAAAAAUUAAAAGCUCAAAUAUAUUUAUAACGAAUAAACUGCUACUCUCUACUCUAGUGGAAUAUUGUAAUUUGAUCGAUAGUGAACGAAGUAAUUUCAUUAAAUUUUGAUAGAUGGCGUUGUGGCAAAGUAUUGAACAUGACCACAGCCGUCUUAACAUCGUCAUGUAAAUACGUGUCAUCAAAGAUUACUCAAAAAUUGCUCAUUAUAUCUCAAUCAUAUUUAAAACGGACGACAUGACAAGUAUUAGCUUUUAAUUUAUACAAAAAAGAUCAAAAUCAGUGUAUCCAGUAAAAAGAUAUAACGUAUAAUACAACGUAGGGUGACGAAAAUAAUGUCAAGUAAAUACGCGUUAUCAAAGAUUAAUCAAAAAGUAGUUAUCAGAUCUCGAUAAAAUUUAUAUGUGACCACAUGAUAAACAUCAGCUUUCGAUUAAAGUAAAAAUUAUCAAAAUCGAUACACCCAGUAAAAAGUUAUUGCGGAUUUUCAAGAGUUUCCCUCGAUUUCUCUGGGAUCCCAUCAUCAGAUCCUUUUUUUAUUUCCUUAUCAUGGUACCAAACUAGGGAUAUCCCCUUUCCAACAAAAAAAGAAUUAUCAAAAUCGGUACACCCAGUAGAAAGUUAUGUGGUAUAAUACAACGUAGGUCGACGAAAAAAGCGUCAAGUAAAAACGCAUUAUUAGAUAUAAUUCGAAAAGUAGUUGUUAGAUCUCAAAUAAAUUUAA
rnacentral:misc_RNA from 1 species